GCCAUACCGUCUGAAGAAAGAGUUGAUCUUUUCUUUAGUUUUGGCAUAAUCUGUAUGUCAAUGUUGAUAGGAGUAAGAGACUGGAACAGAUAAGUAUCAAAUCCGGAUUUCCGGAAUAGAACAGAAUCAGAUUAGUGAAUUAUCUGCAUUUUUCAGACAGUAGCAACUGGCAAGACAGCAGAGUUCCUCAAUGCUGAAGAAUAUCCAUCAUAAAAGAUGAGAUUUUGGGAAUUGGGGAUUUGGAUAGGAUCAUCAGACUUUGGGACAAACCAUCGCAGCAAAGGUCAAUAUCAUGCUGGCAAUUUGACGCUGAACCAAAACUUUUGUCAAAAUUAUCUCAAACCGUGUACUCAAUCAGUGAAGUGGACUUGAGUGAGUCACAUGCAUCUUCAACGAUUUUCCUCUCCUCCUACUGCUACAAGUCUGCAAUUAAUGCGAUCUCACCGACCGUACACACUCCUAUCUAUCCAACAAGCUAAUUAAGCGAGGAGCUUGGUAGACGGCGGCAAUGGCGGGCGCGGCGGCGGCGGCCUUCGCGGCGCAGGUGCUGCGGGGGCGGUGGUUCAUGGCGUACGGCUCCUUCCUCAUCAUGUCGGCGGCGGGGGCGACGUACAUCUUCGCCAUCUACUCCAAGGACAUCAAGUCCACCCUCGGCUACACCCAGGAGCAGCUCAACACCGUCGGCUUCUUCAAGGACGUCGGCGCCAACAUCGGCAUCCACGCCGGCCUCAUCGCCGAGGUCACGCCGCCAUGGUUCGUCCUCGCCAUCGGCGCCGCCAUGAAUCUCGGGGGUUACCUCAUGCUCUACCUCUCCGUCACCGGCCGCGUCGGCGCCAGGACCCCGCUCUGGCUCGUCUGCCUCUACAUCGCCGUCGGCGCCAACUCGCAGGCCUUCGCCAACACCGGCGCGCUCGUCACCUGCGUCAAGAACUUCCCCGAGAGCCGCGGCGUCAUGCUCGGCUUGCUCAAGGGGUUCGUCGGCCUCAGCGGCGCCAUCUUCACGCAGCUCUACCUCUCCUUCUACGGCGGCGGCGGCAGCAACACCAAGCCGCUCAUCCUGCUCGUCGGCUGGCUCCCGGCCGCCAUCUCCGUCGCCUUCCUCGGCACCAUCCGGAUCAUACGCGCACCGCGCUCGCCGACCGCGGCGCGCCGCGAGUACCGCGCGUUCUGCGGCUUCCUGUACGUGUCGCUCGCUCUCGCCGCCUACCUCCUGGUGGUCAUCGUCCUCCAGAAGCGGUUCAAGUUCACCCGCGCCGAGUACGCCGUCAGCGCCGCCGUCGUGUUCGCGGCUCUCCUCGCCCCCUUCGCCAUCGUCCUCCGCGAGGAGGCCGCCCUGUUCAGGAAGACGCCCCCCAAGGAGGAAGCCGACGACGUCCCGGCGCUGUCCGCGGCCACGAAACCAUCGCCCGCGGCCGCCGAGACGCCACCAGCGACGGCGAUGGAGAGGGUGGUCCGCGCGCUGAGGCCGCCGCCGCGCGGCGAGGACUACACGAUCCUGCAAGCCCUGGUGAGCGUGGACAUGGUGCUGCUGUUCACGGCGACGGUGUUCGGCGUGGGCGGGACGCUGACGGCGAUCGACAACAUGGGGCAGAUCGGGGAGUCGCUGGGGUACCCGCAGCGCAGCAUCGCCACCCUGGUGUCGCUGAUCAGCAUCUGGAACUACCUGGGGCGCGUGUCGGCGGGGUUCGCGUCGGACGCGCUGCUGUCGCGGUACGGCAUCUCGCGGCCGGUGGUGGUCACCGGCGUGCUGCUGCUCACGGUGGCGGGGCACCUGCUGGUGGCGUUCGGCGUGCCGGGGUCGCUAUACGCGGCGUCGGUGCUGAUCGGGUUCUGCUUCGGGGCGGCGUACCCGAUGAUCCUGGCCAUCAUCUCGGAGGUGUUCGGGCUCAAGUACUACUCGACGCUGUACAACGUGGGGAACGUGGCGUGCCCCGUGGGGUCCUACAUCCUCAACGUCCGCGUCGCCGGCAGGAUGUACGACCGGGAGGCGAGGCGGCAGGGGGCGCGUGGCCGUGGCGGCGGGGAAGAAGGAGCUGACGUGCAUUGGGGUGAAGUGCUACAAGGAUUCCUUCUUGAUCGUCGCCGGGGUGACGGUGGCCGCGGCGGUGGUGAUGGCGGCGCUCGCGUGGCGGACCAGGAAGUUCUACGCCGGGGACAUCUACGCGCGCUUCAGGGAGGAGGCGGCUGCCGGUGGCGGUGGCGCUGGCAAUGGCACCGGCGCCGGAGAAGAUGAGAAGGUGGAAUCCAAGGAGGAGAAGGCGGUGAUGACGCCGACGAGCACCUGAGCUGCAAUUCUGCUGCUCGAUCAGAAGAUCUGAGAGAUAGAGGAGCAAAAAGGACUCCUUUUUUCUUUAUAACUGUUCUUUUAGUUUUUAAGAAGUGCUAUACUACAACAUUGCAACACCCACAUUUAGAGGGAUAAUUGACCCACAUUUUCAACUUAUCUGGGCUAGCCCGAUUCCUCCAAAACAAAAACACUUUUUAUGGCUGGCUAUAAGGGGAAAGAUUCAAUCGGCUGUUCAACUGAAGAAAUUUAAUUGGGAAGGCUCUGAAUUCUGUCAACUGUGUGAUAGAAGUGAAGAUGCAGUUCAUAUCUGUUUUAACUGUCC